GAGCCUUAGCCACAGAGACACCGAUUAGUUUUUAACUGGAUAAGCAGUUACUUAAAGCAAGGUGAUGUCAUGAUAAUAAAGGAGAAGCUGAUCGUUUUUCAUCUUUCUCAUCAGGUUCUCCCUGGGUCAACAUUGUUUGACCGGUACAGUUUCACUUAAGGCAGAGCCUGGCUUUGGAGUCGCCACUUACUCCAAUAAAGCAACCGACCACUCCCUCUUCAAAACAGGUCGCAUCGCGGGCUUACAGUGAAAUAAACGCUCUUUUUGGGCCCUGUCGGUUCACUAGAACGUGGGCACAGUACUCCGGUCUGAUCGAGAGGUGCUCUGACCUGAUCAGUGGGAGAGGCAGUAGGUGCAGCAGGAGCUGAUCACAGCCAGCGUCACAGCUGUGCAGCCCUGGAGGACAAAGCACAGUGGGAAGGCCCCGGGUUCGACACCCGAACCUGUAACAGAGCGGCAAGACAGGGUGAGGGGCCGACGGAGCGCAGCAGCGAGUCAGGCAGGGCGGAGAGGCGGGAGUCAUCAUCCCGGGGGGGCUUCGCGUUGCACUGGGCGGCGCCCGGGCGGACCGCGA